rnacentral:rRNA from 1 species
CAGUCGCCACGGUAAUGCGUAGGUGGCAAGCGUUGUCCGGAAUUAUUGGGCGUAAAGGGCUCGCAGGCGGUUUCUUAAGUCUGAUGUGAAAGCCCCCGGCUCAACCGGGGAGGGUCAUUGGAAACUGGGAAACUUGAGUGCAGAAGAGGAGAGUGGAAUUCCACGUGUAGCGGUGAAAUGCGUAGAGAUGUGGAGGAACACCAGUGGCGAAGGCGACUCUCUGGUCUGUAACUGACGCUGAGGAGCGAAAGCGUGGGGAGCGAACAGGAUUAGAUACCCCGGUAGUCCCUGUCUCUUAUAU